rnacentral:rRNA from 1 species
UUCCGGUUGAUCCUGCCGGACCCGACCGCUAUCGGGGUAGGGCUAAGCCAUGGGAGUCGCACGCUCCCGGGUAAGGGGGCGUGGCGGACGGCUGAGUAACACGUGGCUAACCUACCCUCGGGAGGGGGAUAACCCCGGGAAACUGGGGAUAAUCCCCCAUAGGGAAGGAGUCCUGGAAUGGUUCCUUCCCGAAAGGGUCAUGGGCUAAUCCUGCUCAUGACCGCCCGAGGAUGGGGCUGCGGCCCAUCAGGUUGUUGGCGGGGUAACGGCCCGCCAAGCCUAUAACGGGUAGGGGCCCUGGGAGGGGGAGCCCCCAGUUGGGCACUGAGACAAGGGCCCAGGCCCUACGGGGCGCACCAGGCGCGGAACGUCCCCAAUGCGGGAAACCGUGAGGGCGCUACCCCGAGUGCCCCCGAAAGGGGGCUUUUCCCCGCUCUAAAAAGGCGGGGGAAUAAGCGGGGGGCAAGUUCUGGUGUCAGCCGCCGCGGUAAUACCAGCCCCGCGAGUGGUCGGGACUCUUAUUGGGCCUAAAGCGCCCGUAGCCGGCCCGGUAAGUCAUCCCUUAAAGACCCCGGCUCAACCGGGGAAAUGGGGGUGAUACUACCGGGCUAGGGGGCGGGAGAGGCCAGGGGUACUCCUGGGGUAGGGGCGAAAUCCGUAGAUCCCAGGAGGACCACCAGUGGCGAAGGCGCCUGGCUAGAACGCGCCCGACGGUGAGGGGCGAAAGCCGGGGCAGCAAAAGGGAUUAGAUACCCCUGUAGUCCCGGCUGUAAACGAUGCGGGCUAGGUGUCGGGUAGGCUUAGAGCCUACCCGGUGCCGCAGGGAAGC